ACUGGUCAUGGUGGCUUGUGCCUGUAGUUCCAGCUACUUGGGAGGCAGAGGUAGGAAGAUUGCUUGAGUUCAGGAGUUCUGGGCUGUAGUGCACUAUGCCAACUGGGUGUCUGCACUAAGUUCAGCAUCAAUACGGUGACCUCACAGGAGUGGGGAACCACCAGGUUGUCUAAGGAGGGGUGAAUCAGCCCAGAUUGGAAAUAGAGCAGAUCAAAAUUCCCAUGCUGAUCAGUAGUGGGAUGGCAACUGUGAAUAGCCACUGCACUCCAGCCUGUGCAAUGUGGUAAGACCCUGUCUCU
rnacentral:SRP_RNA from 1 species